ensembl:lncRNA
CAGAUUCAGGUUUUUUAUUUAUUUACUGUCUUUAUGUUUAGGUGUACAAAAAGCAUGCAAAAAAUAGCUCAUUAUAUAUAUAGGUACAUAUUUACAUUGUAAUAACUGCAUUCCAUAGGGAUGUGCCAUGCUUUCAUUUUUGCGACUUGACACAGGCGAGUGAGUACAUUCAGAGAAAUCCACGAGACGACAUGAGACACAAACACAGAGACAGCAGGCACCUUCAACACAUCAGGACAGUCACAAAACAGCAGUGAUCGCACAGUCCCUGACUUCAUACUAUGUACACACUCUUCCUCAGUCCUUCUCCUUUGGAUAUAAUUAUGACCUGAAAUCAUGAUAUAAAUUAGCCCUGCCACCCACUCUGUGCUUCAGUAACUGCACUCGUUGAUUUUUCUCCCUCCUGUGAUUCUCUGCAGCAACAACACAAAGCUGGAGAGCAUUUAUUGAGAGAGUAAACCUCUGUCUGGGCUGCACAGUUUGUAUGUUUGAGCCAUUGUUGUACAUGGGGAUCACAGAUCUGCCACCUGAAACCUGGAAGUAUGAAGGAUGAAUUAUGCUGCAUUUACAGGUGGCCACAGAGUUAUGGCCUUUUGGAUUUAUGUGCUGCAGAACCACCCAAACAUGAUGCGUUCAGGGGUUUUGAGUGUUACAUGUACAAAAAAGAAAAACAUUCAGUGAAAAUUGGCAAAAAUUUAAAGGGACCUCUCUCCAGGCAGAAAGAAAUGUGACUUGUGCAUACUGACUGACACAUAUCGGACUAAGCAAUAAUGAAAAAAGGAUUUUGCUUUUUCUUGCAUGCCUCAAUACGGGAAGUAAACUUUAAAUGGUAGUGUAAUCUGCCCCAAAUACAGGUGCUGUAGAUUUAUACUGAUAACUAACUAGAUGAUAGACAGAAAACAGACGUAACAAAGUAACUGCUCCAUAUCUCGAGGAUUAAAUGUUUCAUCAUCAAGGGCAGCUUGUGAUCAUCCAUUACUGUGUCUCUUUAAAAGAUCCUGAACACAAAGCAGUCCCUUCUACCUGAUCCUGUACUCAUAAAGAGGUUUUUUAUUUAUUUAUUUUUUUUUUACAGUGUUUCAGCAUAUUUUCAACAGUAAAACCUAGAAGUUCCUUUGCCCCAGUUAUACAACAUUCAGUAUUCUGCUCUAGUAUGGAUAUGCACAAAAAAACCCCCAACUAUUUAAAACCAAUCUUGCAGCUUUUACAACCUUAUAACACAGACAGGAGAAAUCAAUUAUAAAAAGGUCUCAAAAACCAAGUAGCAAUGCUGUGACAUGCAGAUCAAUAGUAAAGAGUAAUGCAUUUAAUAGCACAGUAAAUGUGGUCUUUUACAGGUGAACCACAGUUUUUCCUCUUUAUCAUAAACUAUAUAUGGUGAAACGGCUGCCACUAUGGUUCAAUGUCAUCACAAUAUGUAUCUGUAAGUGGAAAAGUGCAAAUAUUUAAAUGUAAGCAGUGCUAAUCUCUCAACAACAUUAAAGGAGGAGUGGCCUGAGUGGUCUGACAGCAGAGGAAUGAGGCAGCGAUGACAAAGACAACAACAAUAUUGCACCUCUGACACCGAUACACAAAUGGCAGAUUAAAAGAACACUCUUAAGAAGUGGUUUUAAGCAAAUAAAUACAGCAAAUCUAACACAUCAUCUCACACUUUUUGGUUCAAACAGACCCUCACAGAAGACCACUCUGCAUACAGACAUGUAACUCCAACUCCUAUCAGUGUUUACUUUCAUUCAGAUUUGUCUCAAUUACAUCUUUCACUGAACAUUAAUAUAAAAACAAAUACAAAGCUUUACAUUCUCCAGUAGCCACAUGAUAAUAGAAUUUAUGCUCUAAUGUCAACGCCAUCCAUGAUUUUUAUGCCUCUGUGGCCAUAAACCUCCAAACACAGCAGCUCAGCAGUGCCAUGUGAAGAGCUUUUUUCUUUUAGACUCCACUUGUCCGUCCUCUGCACCUCAUCCAUCACUGCAGGACACUGACGGCAGCACUAAUAGAAGAGAUGCAAAGGGUUGCACUCUGUCUCUAAUCAGCCACUUUGGGGAUGGCGCUGAAGUGGGCGGAGAAGUGUUUGUUGGCAGCCUGAGCCUAAUCAUGGCAUUGAUUGGGAGCAGAGCCCUCCGCUAGCUAACAUGUCUUUCUUUCACAGGGGCAACGUGCCAGGGUGGUGGCAGAGGAGCUUCAUAAAUACCUACAGUCCCCUCCAAAAGUAUUGGAAUAGUGAGGCCAAUUCCUUUAUUUUUGUUGUAGACUGAAAACAUUUGUAUUUGACAUCAAACAAUGAAUAUGAGACAAAAGAUCAACAUUUCAGCUUUUAUUUCCAGGUAUUUACAUCUGGAUGUGAUAUACAACUUAGAAGAUAGCACCUGUUGUUUGAACCCACCCAUUUUUCAUAUGAGCAAAAGUAUUGGAACAUGUGCCUGACAAGGUGUCUUUUGUUGCCCCGGUGUGUCCUCUUACCUUGAUUAUUCAAACAAUAAAUAGUGCUCAAUGUUUACGUUUAGUUUCAGAUUUGGGUUUUGCCUGUGUAGACUGCAUCUAUAGUUAGAGGUGUAACCAACAUCAAAACCAGAGAGCUGUCUAUGGGCGAAAAGAUAGAAAAUCCAUCAGAGCCAUUGCACAAACAUUGGCCAUAGCCAGCACAACCGUUUAGAAUGCCCUGAAGAAGAAAGAAACCAGUGUACUAAGUAACAGAUGUCUAACGGGUAGACCAAGGAAGACAGCAGCAGUUGACGACAGAAAUGUUGUGAGAGCUAUAAAGAAAGACCCUGAAACAACUGCUGGUGACAUUGGCAACAACCUCCAGAUGGCAGGAGUGAAGGUAUCACAAUCUACUGUUAGCAGAAGAAGUCAUGAACAAAAGUACAGAGGCUACAACAGAAGAUGCAUACCACUCAUUAACAAGAGGAACAGGAUGGCCAGGCUGGAAUUUGGCAAAAAAGUAUAGAGACGAACCUCAAAAAUUCUGGGACAAAGUUUUAUGGACUGAUGAGACAAAGAUGAACCUUUAGCAAAGUGAUGGAAAGGCUAACGUUUGGAGAAAGAAAGGAUCUGCUCAUGAUCCCAAACAUUCAAGCUCAUCUGUGAAACACACUGGAGUUAAUGUUAUGUCUAGGGCUUGCAUGACUUCUUCUGGGACCUACUCAUUAACCUUCAUUGAUGAUGUAACACAUGAUGACAAUAGCAAAAUUAUCUCAGAAGUCUACAGAAACAUUUUGUCUGUCAAUUUAAAGAAAGAUACAACCAAAGUUAUGAGGAGAUCCUUCAUCAUGCAACAAGAUAAUGACCCAAAACAAAUUGCCAAAAUGAUGAAGGAGUUCAUCAGGGGCAAGAAGUCGAAGGCUGUAGACUGGUCAAGUCAAUCUCCAGACUUAAACGCUAUAGAACUGCAUUUUACCUGCUAAAAAGAAGACUGAAGGGAGUAACCGCCCAGAACAAACAACUGAAAGAGGCUGCAGUGAGAGCCUGAAAAAGCAUCACAAAAGUAGAAUGUCUAAGUUAUGUAUCAGAUCCAGAUGUACAUACCUGGAAAUAAAAGCUGAAAUGGUGAUCUCAUUUCAAAUUCAUCAUUUGAUGUCAACCCAAAUGUUUUCAGUCGACAGUAAAAAAUAAAGGGAUUGGCCACAGUGUUUAAAUACUUUUGGAGGGGAGUGUAUCUGAGGCAAAGCUGCGGCUCAGGAAGAACUUUUCUCAUUUACUGUAGACCAAAUAACAGAUCUGGCAUUAGACAUGUGGAAUGACAAACAGUGAAAUCACAUAAAAUAAAUACACUUCUCUUUCAUUUAUCCAUCACACCAACAUCUCAAAGGAUUAGAAUGAUUUACAAUUUCAGCAUAGUUUGUUGGACCUAACCAGCCAGGACUAGUCAGCCAGGACUAACUAGUCAGGGUCUGCAUGAAAAUUACAAGCCAAGAUAUUUGUGGAGGGAGGUUAAAUCUUAUAUUUUAACUUUUUACAUUGCACAAACUAUUUACUUUUUCUUGGAUCCUAACCUUGACUCAACAAUAAACUGUACCCACCUGAUUUCAAAAGACUUACGGUGCUGUAUUGGUGAAAGUGAGAAAGGCAAGGCCUGAGAAGUUUAGACCAUGUGAUCAGCCUUGAAGCCUAACAAAUUAAUGGAUUCAUUUUUUUCACCAUAGCAAUCAUCCCGCAAAUCGGCAAAUCUGAGGUGGAAUUAGCAGUUUCUGCAUUCAUGGUAAAGACAGAAAAACAAUGAAAUUGAUUAGAUCAUGGGUCAUCUAUAUAUGUAUGGAGAUAUCUGUCUUGUAAUUAUACAAAUCUUGUAAUUGACUUGCUCUUUCAUAAUGAGGAGUAUUCUAAAAAAAAAA